UACAGAGGGUGCAAGCGUUGUUCGGAAUCAUUGGGCGUAAAGGGCGUGUAGGCGGUUUGUUAAGUCAUGUGUGAAAUCCCUCGGCUCAACCUGGGAACCGCGCUUGAGACUGGCACGCUAGAGUUCGGGAGAGGAUGGUGGAAUUCCCAGUGUAGAGGUGAAAUUCGUAGAUAUUGGGAAGAACACCGAUGGCGAAGGCAGCCAUCUGGACCGACACUGACGCUGAGGCGCGAAAGCGUGGGGAGCGAACAGG
rnacentral:rRNA from 1 species